rnacentral:rRNA from 1 species
GACGAACGCUGGCGGCGUGCUUAACACAUGCAAGUCGAACGGAAAGGCCCUGCAUUUGUGGGGUGCUCGAGUGGCGAACGGGUGAGUAACACGUGAGUACCCUGCCCUUGACUAUGGGAUAACUUCAGGAAACUGGGGAUAAUACCGGAUAGGAGCUCCUGCUGCAUGGAGGGGGUUGGAAAGUUUGGGCGGUUGGGGAUGGACUCGCGGCUUAUCAGCUUGGUGGUGGGGUAGUGGCUGACCACGGCUUUGACGGGUAGCCGGCCUGAGAGGGUGACCGGCCACAUUGGGCCUGAGGUACGGCCCAGUCUCCUACGGGAGGCAGCAGUGGGGAGUAUUACACAGUGGGCGGACGCCUGAUACGGCGGCGCCGCGUGCGUGAUGUCGGCCUUCGGGUUGUGAACCGCUUUCGCCUGAGACGCAGCGUUAGUGACGGUAAUGGGUGAAGAAGCACCGGCUAACUACGUG